AGCAAAUAGAUACCCCGGUAGUCCUAGCCCUAAACGAUGGGUACUAGGUAGUAGACGAGAUAUGCGUUUACUGCCGAAAGCUAAAAAGUGCUAAGUACCCCGCCUGGGGAGUAUGGUCGCAAGGCUGAAAACUCAAAGAAAUUGACGGGGGGCUCACACAAGCGGUGGAGCAUGUGGCUUAAUUCGAGGCUACGCGAAGAACCUUAUCCUGGACUUGACAUGUGCGAAAGCGCUAGGUAGUAGAAGCCGGAAACGGUAACGAACCCCGCAAGGGGGAGCCUAGUACAGGUGCUGCAUGGCUGUCGUCAGCUCGUGUCGUGAGAUGCCGGGUUAAGUCCCAUAACGAGCGAAACCCUUACCCUUAGUUGCAACCGCAAGGGCACUCUAGGGGGACUGCCGGUGUUAAACCGGAGGAAGGCGGGGAUGACGUCAAGUCCUCAUGGCCUUUAUGUCCAGGGCUGCACACGUGCUACAAUGGCGUGUACAAAGCGAAGCGACUCUGCGAAGAGAAGCCAAUCGCAAAAAACACG
rnacentral:rRNA from 1 species